rnacentral:rRNA from 1 species
UACGUAGGGUGCAAGCGUUAAUCGGAAUUACUGGGCGUAAAGCGUGCGCAGGCGGUUGUGCAAGACAGAUGUGAAAUCCCCGGGCUCAACCUGGGAAUUGCAUUUGUGACUGCACGGCUAGAGUGUGUCAGAAGGGGGUAGAAUUCCACGUGUAGCAGUGAAAUGCGUAGAGAUGUGGAGGAAUACCGAUGGCGAAGGCAGCCCCCUGGGAUAACACUGACGCUCAUGCACGAAAGCGUGGGGAGCAAACAGG